AGCCAUUCGGGAGCUUUAACAUGCAAGUCGAACGGCAGCGCGAGAAAGCUUGCUUUCUUGGCGGCGAGUGGCGAACGGGUGAGUAAUGUAUCGGAACGUGCCCAGUAGCGGGGGAUAACUGGCCGAAAGGUCAGCUAAUACCGCAUACGCCCUACGGGGGAAAGGGGGGGAUCGCAAGACCUCUCACUAUUGGAGCGGCCGAUAUCGGAUUAGCUAGUUGGUGGGGUAAAGGCCUACCAAGGCGACGAUCCGUAGCUGGUUUGAGAGGGCGACCAGCCACACUGGGACUGAGACACGGCCCAGACUCCUACGGGAGGCAGCAGUGGGGAAUUUUGGACAAUGGGGGAAACCCUGAUCCAGCCAUCCCGCGUGUGCGAUGAAGGCCUUCGGGUUGUAAAGCACUUUUGGCAGGGAAGAAACAGCCUGGGCUAAUAUCUCGGGCGACUGACGGUACCUGCAGAAUAAGCACCGGCUAACUACGUGCCAGCAGCCGCGGUAAUACGUAGGGUGCAAGCGUUAAUCGGAAUUACUGGGCGUAAAGCGUGCGCAGGCGGUUCGGAAAGAAAGGUGUGAAAUCCCAGGGCUUAACCUUGGAACUGCACUUUUAACUACCGGGCUAGAGUACGUCAGAGGGGGGUAGAAUUCCACGUGUAGCAGUGAAAUGCGUAGAGAUGUGGAGGAAUACCGAUGGCGAAGGCAGCCCCCUGGGAUGAUACUGACGCUCAUGCACGAAAGCGUGGGGAGCAACAGGAUUAGAUACCCUGGUAGUCCACGCCCUAAACGAUGUCAACUAGCUGUUGGGGUUUAUUAACCUUAGUAGCGCAGCUAACGCGUGAAGUUGACCGCCUGGGGAGUACGGUCGCAAGAUUAAAACUCAAAGGAAUUGACGGGGACCCGCACAAGCGGUGGAUGAUGUGGAUUAAUUCGAUGCAACGCGAAAAACCUUACCUACCCUUGACAUGUCUGGAAUCCCGAAGAGAUUUGGGAGUGCUCGCAUGAGAACCGGAACACAGGUGCUGCAUGGCUUGUCGUCAGCUCGUGUCGUGAGAUGUGGGUUAAG
rnacentral:rRNA from 1 species